rnacentral:rRNA from 1 species
GGAUAACUUACCCUUUAGGACUGGGAUAACUCUGGGAAACUGGGGAUAAUACUGGAUAUUAGGUUAUGGCUGGAAUGCUUUGCCUUUGAAAUGUUUCUUGUAUUCGCCUAAGGAUAGAUCUGCGGCUGAUUAGGUCGUUGGUGGGGUAAUGGCCCACCAAGCCGAUGAUCGGUACGGGUUGUGAGAGCAAGGGCCCGGAGAUGUAACCUGAGACAAGGUUACAGACCCUACGGGGUGCAGCAGGCGCGAAACCUCCGCAAUGUACGAAAGUGCGACGGGGGGAUCCCAAGUGUCAUGCUUAAAGGUAUGACUUUUUAUUAGUGUAAAAAGCUUUUAGAAUAAGAGCUGGGCAAGACCGGUGCCAGCCGCCGCGGUAACACCGGCAGCCCAAGUGGUAGCUGUUUUUAUUGGGCCUAAAGCGUUCGUAGCCGGUUUGAUAAGUCUUUGGUGAAAGCUUGUAGCUUAACUGUAAGAAUUGCUGGGGAUACUAUCAGACUUGAAGUCGGGAGAGGUUAGAGGUACUACCGGGGUAGGGGUGAAAUCCUAUAAUCCUGGGAGGACCACCUGUGGCGAAGGCGUCUAACUGGAACGAUCUUGACGGUGAGUAACGAAAGCCAGGGGCGCGAACCGGAUUAGAUACCCGGGUAGUCCUGGCCGUAAACGAUGUGGACUUGGUGUUGGAAUGGCUUUGGGUUGUUCCAGUGCCGAAGGGAAGCUGUUAAGUCCACCGCCUGGGAAGUACGGUCGCAAGACUGAAACUUAA